rnacentral:rRNA from 1 species
UACGUAGGGAGCAAGCGUUGUCCGGAAUCAUUGGGCGUAAAGGGCGCGUAGGUGGUUCUGUAUGUCUACCGUGAAAGCAUACAGCUCAACUGUAUUUUGUCGGUAGAAACUGCAGGACUUGAGGCUGGGAGGGGCUGGUGGAAUUCCCUGUGUAGCGGUGAAAUGCGUAGAGAUGGGGGGAGAACACUCGUGGCGAAGGCGGCCAGCUAGACCAGUUCUGACACUGAGGCGCGACAGCGUGGGGAGCAAACAGG